AGCGAACGCUGGCGGCAGGCCUAACACAUGCAAGUCGAACGGAUCCUUCGGGAUUAGUGGCGGACGGGUGAGUAACACGUGGGAACGUGCCCUUUGGUUCGGAACAACUCAGGGAAACUUGAGCUAAUACCGGAUGUGCCCUUCGGGGGAAAGAUUUAUCGCCAUUGGAGCGGCCCGCGUCUGAUUAGCUAGUUGGUGAGGUAACGGCCCACCAAGGCGACGAUCAGUAGCUGGUCUGAGAGGAUGAUCAGCCACACUGGGACUGAGACACGGCCCAGACUCCUACGGGAGGCAGCAGUGGGGAAUCUUGCGCAAUGGGCGAAAGCCUGACGCAGCCAUGCCGCGUGAAUGAUGAAGGUCUUAGGAUUGUAAAAUUCUUUCAGCGGGGACGAUAAUGACGGUACCCGCAGAAGAAGCUCCGGCUAACUUCGCG
rnacentral:rRNA from 1 species